AUACUUACCUGGCAGGGGAGACACCAUGAGCAUGAAGGUGGUUUUCCCAGGGUGAGGCUUGUCCAUUGCACUCCGGAUGUGCUGACCCCUGUGAUUUCCUCAAAUCCUGAGGAUUGUCCGUGAGUUCUGUGAGGCUGUUGCUCAGC
rnacentral:snRNA from 1 species